UACGUAGGCAGCAAGCGUUGUUCGGAGUUACUGGGCGUAAAGGGUGUGUAGGGGGCCUGUUAAGUUCCGUGUGAAAUCUCCCGGCUCAACCGGGAGGGUGCGCGGAAAACUGGCGGGCUAGAGUACGGGAUGGGAGAGUAGAAUUCCUGGUGUAGCGGUGAAAUGCGUAGAUAUCAGGAGGAAUACCGGUGGUGUAGACGGCUCUCUGGACCGUAACUGACACUGAGACACGAAAGCGUGGGUAGCAAACAGG
rnacentral:rRNA from 1 species